UUAAGUGACGAUAGCCUAGGGGAUACACCUGUUUCCAUGCCGAACACAGCCGUUAAGCCCUAGCGCGCCUGAAGUAGUGGGAGGCUGCCUCCUGUGAGAUAGGGGCGUUGCUUAGC
rnacentral:rRNA from 2 species